rnacentral:rRNA from 1 species
UACAGAGGUCCCAAGCGUUGUUCGGAUUCACUGAGCGUAAAGGGUGCGUAGGCGGUCGGGUAAGUCUGAUGUGAAAUCUCACAGCUUAACUGUGAAACUGCAUUGGAUACUAUCCGGCUCGAGGAAUGGAGGGGAGACUGGAAUACUUGGUGUAGCAGUGAAAUGCGUAGAUAUCAAGUGGAACACCAGUGGCGAAGGCGAGUCUCUGGACAGUUCCUGACGCUGAGGCACGAAAGCCAGGGGAGCAAACGGG